rnacentral:rRNA from 1 species
AAUAGAUACCCUGGUAGUCCACGCCCUAAACGAUGUCUACUAGUUGUUGGUGGAGUAAAAUCCAUUAGUAACGCAGCUAACGCGUGAAGUAGACCGCCUGGGGAGUACGGUCGCAAGAUUAAAACUCAAAGGAAUUGACGGGGGCCCGCACAAGCGGUGGAUUAUGUGGAUUAAUUCGAUGCAACGCGAAAAAACCUUACCUGGCCUUGACAUGUACGGAACUUUCCAGAGAUGGAUUGGUGCUCGAAAGAGAGCCGUAACACAGGUGCUGCGUGGCUGUCGUCAGCUCGUGUCGUGAGAUGUUGGGUUAAGUCCCGCAACGAGCGCAACCCUUGCCAUUAAUUGCCAUCAUUCAGUUGGGCACUUUAAUGGGACUGCCGGUGACAAACCGGAGGAAGGUGGGGAUGACGUCAAGUCCUCAUGGCCCUUAUGGCCAGGGCUUCACACGUAAUACAAUGGUCGGUACAGAGGGUUGCCAAGCCGCGAGGUGGAGCCAAUCCCAGAAAGCCGAUCGUAGUCCGGAUUGUAGUCUGCAACUCGA